GGAGGGGCAGUGGAUCAGUGGUAGAUCAUCUGCUCGGUUAGCAGAAGGUCCCAAGUUCAAUCGCCGGCACCUCCA
rnacentral:tRNA from 1 species